GUCCUCUUGAUUUUAUAUGAGGUCUGACCUGCCCAGUGAAAAUUAUUUUAACGGCCGCGGUAUUUUGACCGUGCAAAGGUAGCAUAAUCAUUAGUCUUUUAAUAGGAGGCUGGAAUGAAGGGUUUGACGAGGUAUUAACUGUCUCAUUUAAUUUGAAGUUAAAAUUUAACUUUUCAGUUAAAAGGCUGAAAUUUCAUUGGAAGACGAGAAGACCCUAUAGAGCUUUAUAUUUAAAAUUAAUAAUUAAUUUUUGUUUAUUAUUAUUUUUUAUUAUUUUAAUUAUUUUGUUGGGGUGACAAAAAUAUAUAUAUAACUCUUUUAUUUAAAUAACAUUGAUUUAUGAUUAUUAGAUCCAAUCUUAUUGAUUGUUAGAUUAAGUUACCUUAGGGAUAACAGCGUAAUCUUCCUUCAGAGUUCAUAUUUACAGGAAGGAUUGCGACCUCGAUGUUGGAUUAAGAUAAUAAUUAGGUGUAGCCGCUUAAUAUAUAGGUCUGUUCGACCUUUAAAUUCUU
rnacentral:rRNA from 1 species